rnacentral:lncRNA from 1 species
CACGAGAGAACUAACAAGGAGAACAUGAAUGAGAAAUGAUUUGCCUAAGAACAAAAGGUCUGAUAAGGCAAACAUGCAAGAGAGAAAGGGUUCGCCUAAGAACGAGAGGACUGACAAGGCGAAUAUGAAUGAGAAAUGAUUUGCCUAAGCACGAGAGGUCUUACAAGGAAAAUAAUAAAAAGAAAUGGUUCUUGGUUCAGAGAUGGGUGCUUAGCCAUGAGGUG